rnacentral:rRNA from 1 species
GAUGAACGCUAGCGAUAGGCUUAACACAUGCAAGUCGAGGGGCAGCACAAGGUAGCUUGCUAUCUGGGUGGCGACCGGCGCACGGGUGCGUAACGCGUAUGCAACUUGCCCUAUACAGGAGGAUAACCCGUCGAAAGACGGACUAAUACUGCGUAUGCUCACAACUUGGCAUCAAGUGGUGAGGAAAGAAAUUCGGUAUAGGAUAGGCAUGCGUCCCAUUAGCUUGUUGGUGAGGUAACGGCUCACCAAGGCAACGAUGGGUAGGGGAACUGAGAGGUUUAUCCCCCAAACUGGUACUGAGACACGGACCAGACUCCUACGGGAGGCAGCAGUGAGGAAUAUGGGUCAAUGGGCGCGAGCCUGAGCCAGCCAAGUCGCGUGAAGGAGGACUGUCUUAUGGAUUGUAAACUUCUUUUAUACGGGAAUAACAAGAGUCACGUGUGACUCCCUGCAUGUACCGUAUGAAUAAGCAUCGGCUAACUCCGUG